rnacentral:rRNA from 1 species
AUGGUUCAUUUCAAGAAAAGAUACAUGGUGAUGGAGGUCUUCAUCGACGUGAGCAGAGGAGAGGCUGAUCCAAUCAUCCUCACCCAGUUCAAAAUAACCAAAGUUAUCAGAGACAACAUCCAGCUCAACUUUGGGGAGUGUGGCCUCGCUGCAUCUCUUUGA